UGAAGACCUACCUCAAUUCGAGUGACACCUGUAAACUCUGCCUCAAUCCUCAACAAGGCUACAAACUGCAGAAACUACCAGUCUCUGCUUUGGACUGGCGUGCGUUCAGCCGCUGCAGUUUUCAUCUCGAGGACAGUGAACACACCUCCAUCAGCUCACUGGUCGCAGCAUACACCAACCAGAACAGCAUCGACUGGAAGGUUGGACUGGAUUUAACGAAGUUCAGCAACUUGGAGAUUGGAGGAACCAAAUCUAAGGCAUACACCUUUGCUACAGCCCAAAGCAGAGAGGACCGCUACACCUUCAGCACACAUAAAGUCACCUUUACCGUGUGUCCAACAGCCCUCCUCUCAGUGCUGAGUUCAGUAGAGAUUUGGCCAGACUGCCAGCUACCUGCAGCUAUGCAACCAGAGCCCAGUACAGACGCCUCAUAGACACAUACGGACACACUAUAUUCGCCAGGUUGAUCUUGGAGCGCAGUUCAGGCGAGUCACGUCUACACGUACCUGCUUGUCCAGUCUGAAUCAUAAUGAAUUAUAGACACCCACAGUACCUCUGCCUUGUACAGCUCUGGUCUCCACAGUCAUUAUUUAGAAGUGGUGGGAGGCAGAGGCUGGACUGGGGAGUUUUCACUCACCAGAAAUGACUCCCUGGGCUACCAGAAUUGGCUAAAAACCCUCAAGGAUCAGCCUGAUGUAGUUUGCUACUCCCUAAGACCACUGCAUGACCUGGUGCAACAGUCAGCACAAAAAGCAGGACUGAAGGCUGCCAUAGAGCAGUACUUAAAAGAUAACGCCAUCAGUAGAUCAAACAACACACAAUCUUCCUGUAGCAGCAGGGGUCCCGACCUGGAUUCCAAGUGUUGUCCUAAAGAGACUCAGAGGGGAACAGUGACGAUAACCAUGAUCCAAGCCUUUGGUCUGAAAGGAGAUUUUUGGGGCAAGACUGAGGGAUAUGUGAAGAUCUACUAUGACUACCCUAGGUACCAGACCAAUGUGAUCCGAUCUAACUCCCCCUCCUGGAUCACCUUUUACCGUCUGGAAAACGUCAGUACAAAACACUUUUACCUAAUUUUGUAUCCCCAACAAAAAGUAAAAGCAUGGACAUUUGAAAAAAAACCAAAGAUGAAACAAUUUAGAAUAAUUUCCUUAUUUGAAGAAAACA